UCUGUAAAAGAAUAUUCUUUAUUGGAAUAGAGUGGCAGUAUGACAAUUCAUUAUGUGAAUAUCGAGUCUACAUAUUUAUUUACAUAUAAUCUGACACUUCAGAGUAAACAAUAAUAGCAUUUGCUAUUAUGCUCAACAUGAAAAUCACAGUUUAUAAAAGAGAAAUAGACUUACUGAAUAAUUUAGAAUUUUCAUAUAAAGGGCAAACACAUUCUGGUAGAUAAUACUGCAUAAUGACUAUUUCAACAGCUGUUCAUGUGAAUUUCAAGUAACAAGCAGUCUAAUCCGAGUUCAGUGCCAGCAGGUGAGCUGUCAGCAGAACUUCUCCAAGGCCAGAUGGAGCUUUCCAGGUCUACACAAAGAACUGACCCAACCAGAGCCAUCUUUGUAUCAGUGGAGAAAGCCAGGCUCAGUAAUUUCCAGGAUACUGACUACUGCACUGUGGCACAGAAAGUACCCUGUUCAUGUAAGACAGAUAACAUGUGAAAACUGACUGAUGCAUCUGGAAAUCAUCACUAUUUAGCAUUUGCAGUAAGACAGCGCUUCUACAUGCCAAACAAGAUCACUCUCAACCAUGCACUGUGUAAUUCACCCGUGGAUAUUCUGCACAGCAGUUCCAUGCCAGAGCAGCCCUUCUGGCUCUCCCAGCUCUGAUGUGGUGCAGAUCUGUAUCCUGAAAACAGCCUGCUGGAAAGUGAUGAGCGAACCUGCUGGGGCUCCCCACUACUCUCACUCAAGAGAUGAAGUCCAGCUCAGCAUCCUCAGCUGUCAGGGAUCACAGAAUGUUUUAUAAAUACAUGGUGAAGGAGUGGACAGUUAAUGUACUAUCCAGCAGUCCUUUUGUGACUUUCUUCAAAAAUAGCUUUAAUCUCACUUACGUGAAAUGAAUGUAAAACUCUGUAUAUGAAUGGAAGUUUUUAAAGUCUGGUAAUUGUUAAAUGUUAAUUUGCAAGCCUGAGGGAUCAAAUAAUUGUUGACUUUUACCUUAGAAUCAAGUAGUUAUGAUACUCUCUGCUGGAACGAAAGAAUCACCAAAAGCCAAAUAAAACUUGAAUUUAAUAAAUGAAAACAUCUUCACUAAUAUCUUGCAAAAAAAGCGAUACCAGUCAGUAUAUAUCUUCCUCAACAAGUAAAAGGUCAUAUCAGAUCACUGAAGUGAAAGGCAAUGUACUGCACUGUACAGGAGAUGUGACAGCAACAUUAGCUGUUACAAAACAUCUUUCCCCAAAUGAAAACUGUACAAAAACAAAAACAAAAAAAAAAAGAAAGAAAGAAAAAAAGAAAACCAAAUAUCACUCUAAACUUGGCGUACUGAAGACAUGACUAAAGCAAGCUUUUUGGAAAGAAAGGUUUCAUAAAGUGAUCUUCUGUUUAGAAUUCCACUAUUAAAUGCCAAUAUUUAUGUAUUUAUGCAUUUCAUGUUUUCCCAAGAUUCUAUUAUGUGUUUUUCUGUUUUACACUUUUAGAAGUCACAAAAGCUCAAGAGGAGAAUCAAGCAGUUCUUCAAGUGAUUGCCAACGUGAUCACAAAGGGAGGACAUCUUGAGGAGAUCAGUAAGGGCUUUUCAGUCUUAACCUCACUAAAGUCCACUUUUGCCUUGUGUAUUCACAAACUAAAGAAACCCUGCAGAAAGAUCAAGGGCAGCAAAGACAAGGUCAAACCGUCUAUGAGGUGGCACAGCUAUUCCUGGCUGCAAUGCAUGUUUUUUUCACAUGAAAGGUAAAAUACAAAUGUAAAAUGUAUCGUACCUUCCUGCAGCUAAUUAUUAAGAAAUACAGGAAGAAUACAACCAUAGACAAACUCUAAACAUGCCACUUAAAAUGCCAGCGUCUUUCAAGCUGCCUGUAUAUCAUUGACCUAAGUGGCCUCACCACUUUUAAUGAGUGACUUGGGGAUGUUUCUUGUACAGAAAGAACACAAAGUAUGUCAUUGUAAUUCUGCAAGUGAAAUAAUUUACAUAUGUAUCAAUUUUGUACUGCAUUACACUGAAAAAUAUUGUUAAUGGAGAUUUGCUGUGCAGAUGUGUAAUUUUGAAUUUAGAAGAGACUCGUGGGAAUAUGAUUUAAUAUUCUUAUUUAGACUUUCCUUGGAUACCGUCAGGAAAAUAUAUGCAGGAUUUACUAAUGAGAAGUGUGUAUGCAUAUACCUGGUACUGCUUUAAGGAGCAUUUAAGGGCCUCAUUGUUACUGAAAAAGUAAUACUUUUCUCAAUAAUGAAAAAGCAGUAAAUUGUUCACUUCCAAGCUCUUUUGUACAUGCACAGAUGCUGCAGUUCUGUCAGGUUUUCAGAACAUCCACAGGCAUUGUAUGUUAAAAUAUUGCGAAAUUAGGGUUUUUCCUUUCUGACCUUCCUGAUCUUCUAAUACAGAUGCCAUUUCGUACAGUGUCCCUUUAAAGAAACAAAGUCAAGGACUGUGCAUACUCAUUAGCAAUUGUGAAUGACAGGAGUCACCAGCUUGUGAGAAGAACUGCAGCUCCUGAAAGACUCAAAUAAAGAAGAUUUACUGAGGUUAGGGGGAGAACAAUGAAAAUUAGUUUGUAAUGGUACUUUAUAAUACUGUAGGUUAAACGCAAUGCAUAUUCUGUGUUUUUAAUUUUUCUGAGUGAAAUGUAAACCAAAGGUCUUCUCAAAAGAAGAAGAAGUGUUUAUUGAGAAGGUGAGGUAAAGUGCAAAAUGAACAAAAAUUAUAUGAAAAAAUUGUUGUUGUAACUAUUAGUUUUCUGAGCUUUUUUUUUACCCUUGAGAAACCAUUGAGUUUUAAAGUUCUGAGCUAAACUUACUUACAUGUUUUUUGUCAACAAGACAAUGUAUAAAUACACUUUUAUAUGUAUUAAACCAUUUCAAGAUUUUCUUUUUAAAUGCCAGUGUCCUACAAUGCAUUCACUUUGAUGUUAUAAUAAAAUAUACAGUAGAUAAUUUGUCUGCAGCUGAAUUCACAGAUGUUGCAGAAGUGAAGAGGGGCAUCAGUCAAACUGCAGGACACAAUGGCUGUCCUUGCCAUUCCCUAGGCUAAGAAGUGGAAGAAGCACACUAGCAGUGCCAGGGAGGUAUGCCUCCAGCAGUGAGGUGAGGUAUGAAAGCUCCUAUGCUACUGCGUGUUGCUGACAGCAAAUGUGGGAGGAGGAAGGUAGUGCCUAUUUCUGUGGGGAUGGGUGUCCUGAUGUGGAUUUAUAUACCUGACAUGUCAUUACAUAGGCUCUUACUCUAUCCACAGUGGAGAGAACACAAGUUAAUGUCCUUUCUUCUAAAAUGUAAGCCAAACAUACUAAUCUGAGUAGUGACAAAGGUCAAAUUCACUUAGAAAGGAAAUGGGAAGUUCUGUAUUUUCUUAGCAUAUUAGCAUGUUAGGGUGCUGCAGUUAUUAAUGCAUACUGUGUUUAAAAUAGAUAUAGAUUAAAAAGCAGUUAUCAACUGCAGAGUAAAACUCUUCAUCAUUUUUGUUGGCAUCCUGAGUUUCCCUUCCUUGAUUUCUUCACCUUCCUCAGACUGGGGUCUGGGAUUGCUGUCUAAUGUUAGCCUGUUCUUUCAUCAUACUGCAAAUCCUAUGAGCUUUACCUGUAGAUUAAAUAAGGCUUGAAGAACCAUUAUAGAUCUGCAGUACCUCUGAUCUCUUCUGUCCACUGUAUUCCAGAUGAGACCUUGUGGAAAGAAGUCCCAGCUGUCUGCAAGCAAAGUCAGAACAGUUCACUGUGCUGGUUGUGCUGAAAACUGCAAAUGAGGGUCUCUUACUGUUUUCAGUGAUAAUUCACUUUCUUACCUAGAACCAAAUGAACAUAACUUCUGAUAACUUAAAAAUUCACUAGGGUUGAGUUUUUGGGAUUUUGCUGUUGACAGGAGAAUUAAGAUCACUUAUUAGUGACCAGCAAUCCUUGCAAGAGUAAGAUCACUACCCAUUGACAGGAUACUUUAAUAAGCUUUUUGAUCUUUUACCAAACAAAAGUAAUUAGGGUUAUAGGAGUUUAUAACUUCCUUUGGAGGAACAUCUAUAUACACAGAGUGCCAAACCUGAUUAGUUUUUUUCUUAUAUCAGAAGACUUUAAGAGAAAUUUUUCUUUAAUAUGCAUUAAUUAUUAUCAGCAAAUUGUGUUAUGGUGACAUGAUUGUCAACCUGCUUUUCAAAGGAUGCAAGGCUUAUAUUUACUAAAAUUAUGUGUAAGACAUAAUGCCCAAGAGUAUAUGAGAUUGACCUUGCUUAUGCAAAGACCGUGUAGGCAUUGCUAUCUACAGAUACACACCUUAUAAGUAUCCUGGGAUGUGGUACUCAAAGUUAUACCUAACACUGUCAAAUAAUUUUAAUUUUGCAUUUUUUUUUGAAAGAGCUAGUGGUCAGAUAUACGCUCUAAUAUUUGAUACAUGGAUAAUGUAAGAAUGAAAAUUGAUGUGGUACCUGUAAUUUACAGGAGAAAACACUUGUAAUGCUGGCGAGGCGCCGUGGUCGGACAGUCAGCCUGCUGAGCUCGGGCCUGCCUGGACCUCGCCUGCUCUCGUCGGGCCAGACGGGCCCGCACGCCCCGCUCAGGGCGAGCUGCAGGGCCCAUCCCAGGCGACUCCCAUUUCCCCGUAUUUCAUCCGGACGGUGAAAAGCCCCGCUGCCUACUGCCAAUCUGAGGUCCAAGCAAAAACGUUUUGUUUCCCUAACCUCGGGACCCAAUACUCCGGCUACCACGUGUUUCCUCUUGUCACUGCCCGGUGGGAGGGCUGCGGCUGAGCCCCUGCGCUUGUGAAAGGGGCUGGGAGGGGAUGCACUUGGGCAGGCGGGAGGCGCAGCGGCUCGGCAGGUUUCGGGUCCGCUCCGUCACCACCGCCUGGCUCCGGCGCGGCGGCAGCAUUUUCUAGCGCUCUUUUGACAGGAAAGUCAGGGUAUUUUAACAGGAAA
rnacentral:lncRNA from 1 species